rnacentral:rRNA from 1 species
AAAAGACUCUCGGCAACGGAUAUCUCGGCUCUUGCAUCGAUGAAGAACGUAGCGAAAUGCGAUACUUGGUGUGAAUUGCAGAAUCCCGUGAACCAUCGAGUCUUUGAACGCAAGUUGCGCCCGAAGCCAUUAGGCCGAGGGCACGCCUGCCUGGGCGUCGCG